GUGUCGGUCCUUCCACCUUAUGAACUUCAUCAAGUUUAAUUUUACAGAUAUUAGUUCACCAAAAAACUCCUUUUCCAAAAAGACUGUCUGACUGCUGACAAACAUCUUUUAUUCUACAAUGAGGUAGAAAUAGUGUCUUUUAGUUUCUUUUGGAUACCCUACGAAUAAGCAUCUGUCGGACUUCAGUCCAAGCUUAUUUGUCUUUAAACGCUUGACAUAAGCUGGAUACCCCC
rnacentral:lncRNA from 1 species